UCGGAUGUCAUCGGCCCUCACUGAAGUGUUUGGGGGAACUCCGGCUGGCAUUCCACGGCCGCCGCAUUGUUCAUUCACACCAUCGUGUCUUCAGCUACCAUGCACAGACACACACACACUCACUCUCACUCUCACUCUCUCUCUAACAUUGCAUGCAGAGGAAUGAAUGGAAGCAAGAGUUGGAUGUCAUCUGGAGUUCCUUCAAACCACUUCAGUAGGGUCAUGCUUCGC
rnacentral:miRNA from 15 species